rnacentral:snRNA from 1 species
AUAUCUUGACAUGCUACUGAAAAUUCUGGAUAAACAAAAAGGGGACUGUAGAGAAAGAAUAUUAAACAGAUUUUUGGGCUCGGUAGUUGGACCUGGAGCUUGCUCCCUCCAUUCCUCGCAUCGUUCCAGUAUUGCAGUGCUUCUGGGAGCAGUGCACCUCUU